CACAACUGUAAUAUAAUAAUGAAAAUAAUAACUGCAAGGAGAGGAGGAAGAAAAACUGGUAAUUGAUGAACACAUCCUCCAGGCACUUCAAGGACACUCCACGAGAAUCACCAGGAUGGCUGCUAAUACAG
rnacentral:lncRNA from 1 species